AACUUAUAAACGGGGAGCUGGUAAAAGCCGGCUGAGAGGAAACUGUGUGGUUUCGACCUAUAACCUGAUUUGGAUAAUGCCAACGUAGGGAACAAUAUCUGUAUGCAA
rnacentral:ncRNA from 2 species